AUUUCUUCAGAGUCGAUCUUGGUAUAACUACAAACAACUACGUUAUUGGGCAAGGUAAAAUCGAGUUUUUAUUUUGGGUUUUGCGAUUGAAAUCGAUUGAAAUCGAGUGAAAGUCUACGAAAAUCGAUUGUUCGUUAUGUUUGUAUAAAAUCCGAAGAGAUGGAGAAUGUUAGUGGUAAUAGAAUCGAUUGAAAUAUUGAAUGGAAGUACUAAUCUAAAUGAUUUUGUUUGUAGGUUUGUGGAAGGGAGUUAUGCCUCGAACAAAGAACGCAAAUGUAUCUUUAACGGAGACUCCGCCAGAAGCCAAUCUUGAAGAAGUGCCACCGCCGGCAGUAGUGGAAUCUGAAGCAACAGAUACAAUCUCUAACGUGGUUGCAACGGUAAGAGCCAAUCUUGAAGAAGUGCCACCGCCGGCGGUAGUGGAAUCUGAAGCAACAGAUUCAAUCUCUAACGUGGUUGCAACGGUAAGAUCUCUAAAAUUUGGACAACUAGCAGAACUAGGUAUAAGUUUGUUGCUUGUGUCUCUUAGAAAUUUCUGAAACUAAAAGGUAAAACUAUGAUAAUUAGGUAUAACUAACGUGCAUUUAUAACUUAUAAAUAUCUGAAACUAAAAGGUAAAACUAUGAAUAACUAGGUAUAACUAUGCUGCUUUUGCUUUUAUAACUUAGAAAUAUCUGAAACUAAAAGGUAAAACUAUGAAUAACUUGGUAUAACUAUUCUGUUUUUCUAACUUAGAAAGUUUUAAAACUAAAAGGUACAACUGUGUAUAACUUGGUCCAUAUUGAUUGCAGGAUUCUAAUGAGGAAACCGAAGCUCUACAACC
rnacentral:lncRNA from 1 species